GAGCAACUUCACUAAGAUGAUGUUCCAAAUGUAUUCCUUCUGUGAAGACAAAGGAUGGAUACAAACACGAUUAAGGCCCUCCUCAGGGAUAACUGUGUGAGCACAAAAGAAGAAAGUCUUUGGAGGCAUCAAAUUAUCUAACUAUCACACAAUACACACCUGUGUAUUCCAAAUCAAUGGAACGCCAGCAACGCAAAACAGGGUUCACCGUAGCUGACAAAUGAAAGAACGACUUAACGCAGCUAUGAGGCUGGAAUGGUGAGAGCUGAACCGUUACCUUGAGGUUAUACGGGACACAUGCGGGAAUCUUAGCGCCAGCUGAUGCAAAUCAGGGCUCCUUCCGUGGGAGCCUCGUCAGCACCAAAUUCCAGCAAGCGAGUUUGGGGGCCAACAUUGUUUUCCACAGCCUACUAUUAAAACUUAACUAUUUGGAUUUCCUGUGAGGUCUCUGCUGCCAUCUGCUGAGGAAAGUUGAAAGUGGCACUUUCCUAAUAUUUUGGCACGUUGCCUCAACAUGUGUUGAGUCCAGUGUUUCCACAAUGUGAACUGAUUUUUCUUACGGAAAGGAUUCUAUACUUUCCGCUUCAUUUUACUUGAAGAAAGAUCUUGAGAGCACGAGGAAUCUAACACAAGUUCAACAUCUUUUCCAUAACUGUGCUGAAUCAGCUAAGCACUUUUUCACUGAUCUUCAACUUACAUGUUGAGAACUUAACAUUUUUAAGACAAAGACCUUUAAAGGCAAUACAGACUCAAAUACUCCAAGCUUAAUUCUUUUCCUAGUUAAUAAAUAAUGUAUAUGGUACUUAAACUAAUAAAACUACAUUUAAA